UACGGGGGGAGCAAGCGUUGUUCGGAUUUACUGGGCGUAAAGGGCGCGUAGGCGGCCACCGCAAGUCGACUGUGAAAUCUCCGGGCUUAACUCGGAAAGGUCAGCCGAUACUGCGGGGCUAGAGUGCAGAAGGGGCAACUGGAAUUCUCGGUGUAGCGGUGAAAUGCGUAGAUAUCAUCAGGAACUCCGGUGGCGAAAGCGGCGUGCUGGACCUUUACUGACGCUGAGGCGCGAAAGCCAGGGGAGCAAACGGG
rnacentral:rRNA from 1 species